GAUGAACGCUGGCGGCGUGCUUAACACAUGCAAGUCGAACGAACGACUAUUAACAGAACCUUUCGGGGCGAAGAAUAUAGAAGUUAGUGGCGGACGGGUGCGUAACGCGUGGGUAAUCUGCCUUUGUCAAAGGAAUAACUAUUCGAAAGAAUAGCUAAAACCGUAUAACAUAUUAAUAGGGCAUCCUAAUAAUAUCAAAACGAUAGUGGACAAAGAUGAGCCCGCGUCUGAUUAGCUAGUUGGUGAGAUAAAAGCCCACCAAGGCAACGAUCAGUAGCCGACCUGAGAGGGUGAACGGCCACAUUGGAACUGAGACACGGUCCAAACUCCUACGGGAGGCAGCAGUGGGGAAUAUUGCACAAUGGGGGGAACCCUGAUGCAGCAACGCCGCGUGAGUGAAGAAGGCAUUCGUGUCGUAAAACUCUGUAGUAGGGGAAGAAAGAAAUGACAGUACCCUAAAAGAAAGCCCCGGCUAACUACGUGCCAGCAGCCGCGGUGAUACGUAGGGGGCAAGCGUUAUCCGGAAUAACUGGGCGUAAAGGGUGCGCAGGUGGUUUAACAAGUUAGUGGUGAAAGGCAUAGGCUCAACCAAUGUAAGCCAUUAAAACUGUUUAACUUGAGUGCAGGAGAGGAAAGUGGAAUUCCUAGUGUAGCGGUGAAAUGCGUAGAUAUUAGGAGGAAUACCAGUGGCGAAGGCGACUUUCUGGACUGCAACUGACACUGAGGCACGAAAGCGUGGGGAGCAAACAGG
rnacentral:rRNA from 1 species